GACAAGUUUUCUUUCUGAAGGGAACCUAGAAGUUACCUUCCAAUUUCCUGCUCCCCAUUUUGCAGAUAAGGAAACUGAUAUCCAUAGAGAAAUGCCUUUCUACAAUCGCACAGAUAAUGAGUAGAGAUUCCCAUUGUUUGAAGACCUAGACUGCCAGACAUGGUGCUAAAUGUUCUACAGGGAGACAUUUCCAAACAGCAAAAGGACAAUGUUCUCUUCUAGAGGAGCUAGAAGACGCAGGUCUAACCACGGAGCAGCCUUCUCUAGGUAAGCAUUCUUCCCAUAUCCUAUUCAAUAUUUUAGAAUAUGCGCAUCUUCUUUCUGUAUCAUUAUUCUGUAUCUGUAUCUUUCUGUAUCAUUCUCCGCCCAAUUGUCCAUUCUUUUUUCAUGCAAUAUUAGUUCUUUAAACAGCCACUCUGACUGGGAGCCAUAUAAA
rnacentral:lncRNA from 1 species